rnacentral:rRNA from 1 species
CUUCGGGUGUGAGUAUAGUGGCGCACGGGUGAGUAACACGUGGGAAUCUACCUGAUAGUACGGAAUAACCAUUGGAAACGAUGGCUAAUACCGUAUACGCCCUUAGGGGGAAAGAUUUAUCGCUAUCAGAUGAGCCCGCAUUUGAUUAGCUAGUUGGUAAGGUAAAAGCUUACCAAGGCGACAAUCAAUAGCUGAUUUGAGAGGAUGAUCAGCCACACUGGGACUGAGAUACGGCCCAGACUCC